AGAGUUUGAUCCUGGCUCAGAUUGAACGCUGGCGGCAUGCUUUACACAUGCAAGUCGAACGGCAGCGCGGGGGCAACCCUGGCGGCGAGUGGCGAACGGGUGAGUAAUGCAUCGGAACGUGCCCAGACGUGGGGGAUAACUACUCGAAAGAGUGGCUAAUACCGCAUACGAUCUACGGAUGAAAGCGGGGGAUCGCAAGACCUCGCGCGUCUGGAGCGGCUGAUGGCAGAUUAGGUAGUUGGUGGGAUAAAAGCCUACCAAGCCAACGAUCUGUAGCUGGUCUGAGAGGAUGAUCAGCCACACUGGGACUGAGACACGGCCCAGACUCCUACGGGAGGCAGCAGUGGGGAAUUUUGGACAAUGGGCGAAAGCCUGAUCCAGCCAUUCCGCGUGCAGGAUGAAGGCCCUCGGGUUGUAAACUGCUUUUGUACAGAACGAAAAAGCUCUGGCUAAUACCUGGAGUCCAUGACGGUACUGUAAGAAUAAGCACCGGCUAACUACGUGCCAGCAGCCGCGGUAAU
rnacentral:rRNA from 1 species